UCAUCCUUACAAAAUCCGCUUAUAAAGUGAUGAGUACCUCCUCCUUAUAAACUCUUAUCUAGAGUCCUAUCUUUCCAAUGUUGGACUUGGGUUUUUUCCCAAUAAGUCUUUAGUAUGUUCAUGGUAGUGUAUUUUGGUCAGGUCAAAGAGCAUGGCCUAGAAGUAUGUUCGUGGUCAUUUCCAAGAAAAGAUCUAGAAGUAUGAGAAAAGCAUCUCUUAAUUGCCUCUAUUAAAACUGAAAAUAUGUUUAUUAUUUCAUAUUAUGUGGUGAGAGUGUACAUUUAUAUAGGUAAGAGUCUCCUAGUUAACCCCUAAUUAAUAAGGAAGAUUAAUCAAUACAAUCAAUACAAUGGCCAGUGGAGUUGAAACUAAAUAGUCAGAACUUUUCAAUAUCUCCACUAAGUACUUGAUUAAUUAUUCUAACAGCCUCAGCUUGUAGGUGUUUAUAGUAGGAAGCAUUUGGUGUAUGUUAGUAUUGGGGUAGGGAAAGCUUGUAUCAAUCACAUGUGUAGGUGAUUCGUGAUUGUAAUGAAUGGGAAUAUAUGUUGGAAAGACCUGUUGUAAUGAAUGCUCGGUCACCGCUUACUGAAACAUUCGCUACAAGAUUGAAAAAAUAGAA
rnacentral:lncRNA from 1 species